rnacentral:rRNA from 1 species
GACGGAGGAUGCAAGUGUUAUCCGGAAUCACUGGGCGUAAAGCGUCUGUAGGUUGUUUAAAAAGUCUGCAGUUAAAGGUUGAAGCUUAACUUCAAAAAUGCCGUAGAAACUUUUAAACUAGAGGAUGGUAGGGGUAGAGGGAAUUUCCAGUGGAGCGGUGGAAAUGUGUAGAUAUUGGAAAGACCACCGAUGGCGAAGGCACUCUACUGGGCCAUGACUGACACUGAGGAGCGAAAGCGUGGGAGCGAACAGG